rnacentral:rRNA from 1 species
AGAGGGUGCGAGCGUUGUCCGGAAUCACUGGGCGUAAAGGGCGCGUAGGCGGCUUCUUAAGCGUGUCGUGAAAGCGCGGGGCUCAACCCCGCGUCGGCGAUGCGAACUGGGGAGCUGGAGCACGUCAGAGGCAGGCGGAAUUCCGGGUGUAGCGGUGGAAUGCGUAGAGAUCCGGAAGAACACCGGUGGCGAAGGCGGCCUGCUGGGACGUGGCUGACGCUGAGGCGCGACAGCGUGGGGAGCAAACAGGAUUAGAUACCCUGGUAGUCCACGCCGUAAACGAUGGGUACUAGGUGCUUGGGGGAGCGACCCCCUGGGUGCCGGCGCUAACGCAUUAAGUACCCCGCCUGGGGAGUACGGCCGCAAGGCUG